rnacentral:misc_RNA from 1 species
UUGACAGAAAAUUGGGUUAGGCUUGUUGUUAUCAUUCAAAAAUAUUGUAAAAAUAACUUGACAUUCGAAAAAUAUCACCCAAAAUAGCCUAAUUUUAAUUGCUAUCGAAAAAGAUCAUCACGACAACACAGCUAAAACCAGAGAGUCACAAGAUUGCAGUCAAAAAGUUUUGGAGCUACAAAAACGUUUAAACCAAGCCAAAGCUGACAUUCGUAUGCUACCUGGCAUAGAGUUCAGCAAAGAACAGCAGCUGAACCACUUAGAAGCCUUAAAGACUCAGCUUCGUCUGAAGCAAGAACUGUUACAAAAAUACCGAAAUUUGUGCCCCUUCAAGUUCCAGAAACCUUAGAGCAAAAUUUCAUGUAAAAAACAGCAUGGUAUUGCGAUUCAUACUCCGAGUUUUAGCAAAUAAUGAACAGCUGGUACAGAGACUGAGCGAAUCGUACCCUAUGCGUAGGGCAGCUCAGAUUAUCGUCCGGGCAAUGUUCACAGGGAAAAACUUCAUUGAGGAAAGAAGACUACACGAAAAACUGACUCCGGAACAAUUUCAAGCUUUGAUGCGUGAAAUUUCGGUAGGUUUUCAAAAACAAGUUAAGCAAGUUCAAGAAAACAUUCAAAAAAAGAUGAAACAAUAGUUUUUUUGAGAAUAUAGAGUAAAAAUGAAAAAUACAAUAAUUUUUAUUGGUUCUCCUGAACAUAACGCAAAGAAAUCUUCAACCGAUUACAAAAACUUGUUUCUUGUGUCUCCGAACGAUGUGUUGUAUCGAAUUUUUACCUCUUUUGUGCCCCCAUUUAAUAAAUUUCGAAAAAUCUAUGUGGAUGUUUUAGGACCUUUUAUUUGCCUGGUUUUGCUGUGUUUUUUUUUGAAUUACGGUUAUUCUCUGAAACCCCAUAAAAUAGACAGGUCCCCCUUCGAGUCUAUUGUUUGUUUUUCUGUAAUUAUGCCCAUUUUGUCUUAUGUUUUACUAAAAUUAGGUCAGUCCAGCAUCAGUUUUUGGGAAACCUUGUGCGUUUUUGGAUAUUCCUUGUACGGUCAUCUAUUUACUUUAUUUCUAUCGUAUAUAUUCUUUCAAGAAACGAGCGAUGCUAUGUUUUUUAUCAGUUUGAUACUAGUAGGGGGCCCUAGUACUUUGAGGCUGAUUCUAGUUUAUUUAAAAACAAUACCAGUCCCUGGGGCAAGAUUACUAAUCUGUAGCAUAGUCUCUAUAGGAAAUAUUCUGUUUCUUAUUUAUUUAUAUUUUGCUUUCUUGCAUAGAAAUUAUAUGUAUAGUCAAACUGUUUAAAUAAAUUGAGUAAAUAAA